GGCUCAGAAUCAACGCUGGCGGCGCGCUUAACACAUGCAAGUCGAACGAGAAAGCCGGGGCAACCUGGUGAGUAAAGUGGCGUACGGGUGAGUAACACGUGGGUGAUCUACCCUCUGGUGGGGAAUAACCCUGGGAAACUGGGGCUAAUACCGCAUAAGUCCGCGAGGAGAAAGUCGCAAGACGCCGGAGGAGGAGCCCGCGGCCGAUUAGCUAGUUGGUGAGGUAACGGCCCACCAAGGCUAUGAUCGGUAGCCGGCCUGAGAGGGCACACGGCCACACUGGCACUGAAACACGGGCCAGACUCCUACGGAAGGCAGCAGUGGGGAAUCUUGCACAAUGGGGGCAACCCUGAUGCAGCGACGCCGCGUGAGCGAUGAAGCCCUUCGGGGUGUAAAGCUCUUUCGGCAGGAACGAUAAUGACGGUACCUGCAGAAGAAGCUGCGGCUAACUACGUGCCAGCAGCCGCGGUAAUACGUAGGCAGCAAGCGUUGUUCGGAGUUACUGGGCGUAAAGAGUGCGUAGGCGGUCCUUUAAGUUCGGUGUGAAAUCUCCCGGCUCAACUGGGAGGGUGCGCCGGAAACUGGAGGGCUCGAGUAUGGGAGAGGAAAGCGGAAUUCCUGGUGUAGCGGUGAAAUGCGUAGAUAUCAGGAGGAACACCUGCGGUGUAGACGGCUUUCUGGACCAUGACUGACGCUGAGGCACGAAAGCGUGGGGAGCAAACAGGAUUAGAUACCCUGGUAGUCCACGCCCUAAACGAUGCAUACUUGGUGUAGGCCGUUCAGUCGGUCUGUGCCGGAGCUAACGCGUUAAGUAUGCCGCCUGGGGAGUACGGUCGCAAGGCUGAAACUUAAA
rnacentral:rRNA from 1 species